AGACCCGAAACCCGGUGAUCUAGCCAUGGGCAGGUUGAAGGUUGGGUAACACUAACUGGAGGACCGAACCGACUAAUGUUGAAAAAUUAGCGGAUGACCUGUGGCUGGGGGUGAAAGGCCAAUCAAACCGGGAGAUAGCUGGUUCUCCCCGAAAGCUAUUUAGGUAGCGCCUCGUGAAUUCAUCUCCGGGGGUAGAGCACUGUUUCGGCUAGGGGGCCAUCCCGGCUUACCAACCCGAUGCAAACUGCGAAUACCGGAGAAUGUUAUCACGGGAGACACACGGCGGGUGCUAACGUCCGUCGUGAAGAGGGAAACAACCCAGACCGCCAGCUAAGGUCCCAAAGUCAUGGUUAAGUGGGAAACGAUGUGGGAAGGCCCAGACAGCCAGGAUGUUGGCUUAGAAGCAGCCAUCAUUUAAAGAAAGCGUAAUAGCUCACUGGUCGAGUCGGCCUGCGCGGAAGAUGUAACGGGGCUAAACCAUGCACCGAAGCUGCGGCAGCGAACGUAUCACCCAAGACAACUUUACGGAGUUGACGAUUGACGGAGCGAAGCGACGUCAAAGCGUUCAUUAAAGUCGAGUUGGCUUAGGGAUACGUUCGUUGGGUAGGGGAGCGUUCUGUAAGCCUGUGAAGGUGUGUCGUGAGGCAUGCUGGAGGUAUCAGAAGUGCGAAUGCUGACAUAAGUAACGAUAAAGCGGGUGAAAAGCCCGCUCGCCGGAAGACCAAGGGUUCCUGUCCAACGUUAAUCGGGGCAGGGUGAGUCGACCCCUAAGGCGAGGCCGAAAGGCGUAGUCGAUGGGAAACGGGUUAAUAUUCCCGUACUUGGUGUUACUGCGAAGGGGGGACGGAGAAGGCUAUGUUGGCCGGGCGACGGUUGUCCCGGUUUAAGCGUGUAGGUGUGUGUUCCAGGUAAAUCCGGUUCACUUUAACACUGAGGCGUGACGACGAGGCACUACGGUGCUGAAGCAACAAAUGCCCUGCUUCCAGGAAAAGCCUCUAAGCAUCAGGUAACAUCAAAUCGUACCCCAAACCGACACAGGUGGUCAGGUAGAGAAUACCAAGGCGCUUGAGAGAACUCGGGUGAAGGAACUAGGCAAAAUGGUGCCGUAACUUCGGGAGAAGGCACGCUGACACGUAGGUGAAGUGAUUUACUCAUGGAGCUGAAGUCAGUCGAAGAUACCAGCUGGCUGCAACUGUUUAUUAAAAACACAGCACUGUGCAAACACGAAAGUGGACGUAUACGGUGUGACGCCUGCCCGGUGCCGGAAGGUUAAUUGAUGGGGUCAGCGCAAGCGAAGCUCCUGAUCGAAGCCCCGGUAAACGGCGGCCGUAACUAUAACGGUCCUAAGGUAGCGAAAUUCCUUGUCGGGUAAGUUCCGACCUGCACGAAUGGCGUAAUGAUGGCCAGGCUGUCUCCACCCGAGACUCAGUGAAAUUGAACUCGCUGUGAAGAUGCAGUGUACCCGCGGCAAGACGGAAAGACCCCGUGAACCUUUACUAUAGCUUGACACUGAACAUUGAGCCUUGAUGUGUAGGAUAGGUGGGAGGCUUUGAAGUGUGGACGCCAGUCUGCAUGGAGCCGACCUUGAAAUACCACCCUUUAAUGUUUGAUGUUCUAACGUGGACCCGUAAUCCGGGUUGCGGACAGUGUCUGGUGGGUAGUUUGACUGGGGCGGUCUCCUCCUAAAGAGUAACGGAGGAGCACGAAGGUUGGCUAAUCCUGGUCGGACAUCAGGAGGUUAGUGCAAUGGCAUAAGCCAGCUUGACUGCGAGCGUGACGGCGCGAGCAGGUGCGAAAGCAGGUCAUAGUGAUCCGGUGGUUCUGAAUGGAAGGGCCAUCGCUCAACGGAUAAAAGGUACUCCGGGGAUAACAGGCUGAUACCGCCCAAGAGUUCAUAUCGACGGCGGUGUUUGGCACCUCGAUGUCGGCUCAUCACAUCCUGGGGCUGAAGUAGGUCCCAAGGGUAUGGCUGUUCGCCAUUUAAAGUGGUACGCGAGCUGGGUUUAGAACGUCGUGAGACAGUUCGGUCCCUAUCUGCCGUGGGCGCUGGAGAACUGAGGGGGGCUGCUCCUAGUACGAGAGGACCGGAGUGGACGCAUCACUGGUGUUCGGGUUGUCAUGCCAAUGGCACUGCCCGGUAGCUAAAUGCGGAAGAGAUAAGUGCUGAAAGCAUCUAAGCACGAAACUUGCCCCGAGAUGAGUUCUCCC
rnacentral:rRNA from 1 species